CGGGUGAGUAACACGCGGAUAACCUACCUAUAAGACUGGGAUAACUUCGGGAAACCGGAGCUAAUACCGGAUAAUAUUUUGAACCGCAUGGUUCAAAAGUGAAAGACGGUCUUGCUGUCACUUAUAGAUGGAUCCGCGCUGCAUUAGCUAGUUGGUAAGGUAACGGCUUACCAAGGCAACGAUGCAUAGCCGACCUGAGAGGGUGAUCGGCCACACUGGAACUGAGACACGGUCCAG
rnacentral:rRNA from 1 species